GACGAACGCUGGCGGCGUGCUUAACACAUGCAAGUCGAACGGAAGGGCCCUACUUUUGUGGGGUGCUCGAUUGCCGAACGCGGGAGUGACACGUGUGUAUCCUGCCCUUGACUUUCGGGUAACUUCACGAAACUGGGGCUAAUAUCGUAUAGGAUCUCCUGCUCCGUGGUGGGCGUUGGAAAGUUUCGGCGGUUGGGGAUGGACUCGCCGCUUAUGAGCUUGUUGGUGGGGUAGUUGCUUACCAAGGCUUUGACGGGUACCCGGCCUGAGAGGGUGACCGGCCACAUUGGGACUGAGAUAGGGCCCAGACUCCUACGGGAGGCAGCAGUGGGGAAUAUUGCACAAUGGGCGGAAGCCUGAUGCAGCAACGCCGAGUGCGGGAUGACGGCCUUCGGGUUGUAAACCGCUUUCGCAUGUGACGAAGCGUGAGUGACGGUAAUGGGUAAAGAAGCAACGGCUAACUACGUG
rnacentral:rRNA from 1 species